rnacentral:rRNA from 1 species
UACGUAGGGUGCAAGCGUUGUCCGGAAUUAUUGGGCGUAAAGAGCUCGUAGGCGGUCCGUCGCGUCUGCUGUGAAAACCAGAGGCUCAACCUCUGGCCUGCAGUGGGUACGGGCGGACUAGAGUGCGGUAGGGGAGAUUGGAACUCCUGGUGUAGCGGUGGAAUGCGCAGAUAUCAGGAAGAACACCGAUGGCGAAGGCAGAUCUCUGGGCCGUAACUGACGCUGAGGAGCGAAAGCAUGGGGAGCGAACAGG